GCAAGUCGAGGGGUAACAGAUGAAGAGCUUGCUCUGAUUGCUGACGACCGGCGCACGGGUGGUAACAAGUAUGCAACCUACCUUUUACAGAGGGAUAGCCCAGAGAAAUUUGGAUUAAUACCUCAUAAUAUUUUUAACUCGUAUGUGUUUUAAUUUAAAACUUCGGUGGUAAAAGAUGGGCAUGCUUUCUAUUAGUUUGUUGGUGAGGUAACGGCUCACCAAGACUAUGAUAGAUAGGGGGUCUGAGAGGAUGAAC
rnacentral:rRNA from 1 species